CUGCGCCGAAAAUUUAACGGGGCUAAACUAUACACCGAAGCUUAGGAUACCGCAAGGUAUGGUAGGAGAGCGUUCUGUACGGAGUGAAGUCGUAGCGAAAGCGGCGGUGGACUGUACAGAAGUGAGAAUGCCGGAAUAAGUAGCGAGAAUUAAGUGAGAAUCUUAAUGGCCGAAAGUCUAAGGUUUUUGGAGGAAGGUUCGUCCGCUCCAAGUAAGUCGGGAGCUAAGGUCAGGCCGAAAGGCGUAGCCGAUGCACAAACGGUUGAUAUUCCGUUACCGUCUACAAUUUAAACAAAGGGACACAUACAAAGCGUUUAACCUGGGCGAUGGUUGACCCGGGCGCAAGGGACUGAAAUUAGAGUAGGGAAGUAAAUGUGGCGUAUGGCGAGAAAAGCUUUGUGAAUAGAAGUAGACGCCCGUACCGCAAACCGACACAGGUGGACAGGAAGAGAAUUCUAAGGCCAGCGGGAGAAGGGUAGUUAAGGAACUCGGCAAAUUGACUCCGUAACUUCGGAAUAAGGAGUGCUCGAAAGAGCCGCAGAGAAUAGGCCCAGGCGACUGUUUAGCAAAAACACAGGUCUCUGCCAAAUCGAAAGAUGAAGUAUAGGGGCUGACACCUGCCCGGUGCCGGAAGGUUAAGAGGAGGAGUGCAAGCUCCGAAUUGAAGCCCCGGUAAACGGCGGCCGUAACUAUAACGGUCCUAAGGUAGCGAAAUUCCUUGUCGGGUAAGUUCCGACCCGCACGAAUGGUGUAACGAUCUGGGCACUGUCUCAACUACCCACCCGGCGAAAUUGUAGUACCGGUGAAGAUGCCGGUUACCUGCGGCAAGACGGAAAGACCCCAUGGAGCUUUACUGUAGCCUGAUAUUGGGUUUCGGAAAUCUAUGUACAGGAUAGGCGGGAGACUGGGAAGUAUGAGCGUCAGCUUAUACGGAGUCGUUGUUGGGAUACCGCCCUUAGGUUUCUGGAAUUCUAACCUGCGACCGUGAAUCCGGUCGGGGGACAUUGUCAGGUGGGCAGUUUGACUGGGGCGGUCGCCUCCGAAAAGGUAACGGAGGCGCUCAAAGGUUGGCUCAGCACGGACGGAAACCGUGCCUCUGAGUGUAAACGCAAAAGCCAGCCUAACUGCGAGGAUGACGGUCCGAGCAGUAACGAAAGUUGGAGUUAGUGAUCCGGCGGUAUGUGAAUGGAAAUGCCGUCGCUCAACGGAUAAAAGCUACCCUGGGGAUAACAGGCUGAUCUCCCCCAAGAGUCCACAUCGACGGGGAGGUUUGGCACCUCGAUGUCGGCUCAUCACAUCCUGGGGCUGUAUUCGGUCCCAAGGGUUCGGCUGUUCGCCGAUUAAAGUGGUACGCGAGCUGGGUUCAGAACGUCGCGAGACAGUUCGGUCCCUAUCUGUCGUGGGCGCAGGAUAUUUGAGGAGCUCUGUCCUUAGUACGAGAGGACCGGGAUGGACGUACCUCUGGUGCACCAGUUGUCAUGCCAAUGGCACGGCUGGGCAGCUACGUACGGAACGGAUAAACGCUGAAAGCAUCUAAGCGUGAAGCCGACUCCAAGAUUAGAUAUCCCAUUGCAUAAGCAAGUAAGACCCCUUGAGGACUACGAGGUUGAUAGGCUGCGUGUGUAAGUGUCGUGAGGCAUUUAGCUUGGCAGUACUAAUAGGUCGAGGGCUUGACCAC
rnacentral:rRNA from 1 species